rnacentral:rRNA from 1 species
ACGAGGGGUGCAAGCGUUAUUCGGAUUUAUUGGGCGUAAAGGGUGCGUAGGUGGUAUGUUAAGUCUGUUGUUAAAUUUUCCGGCCUAACCGGAAGCAUGCAAUGGAAACUGGCAAACUUGAGGAUGGAAGAGGGAAGUGGAAUUCUCGGAGUAGCGGUAAAAUGCGUGGAUCUCGAGAGGAACACCGAUGGCGAAGGCAGCUUCCUGGUCCAUAUCUGACACUGAGGCACGAAAGCGUGGGGAGCAAACAGG